rnacentral:rRNA from 1 species
AAUGAACGUUGGCGGCGUGGAUUAGGCAUGCAAGUCGAGCGCGAACCCCGCAAGGGGUGAAAGCGGCGAAAGGGAGAGUAACGCGUGGGUAUCUGCCCUCGGGACUGGGGUAGCUGCAGGAAACUGCAGGUAAUACCAGAUGACGUCCCCGGACCAAAGGUGUGAUUCCGCCUGAGGAUGAGCCCGCGUCCUAUAAGCUAGUUGGUAGGGUAAUGGCCUACCAAGGCAAUGAUGGGUACUGGGUGUGAGAGCACGACCCAGCUCACUGGGACUGAGACACUGCCCAGACACCUACGGGUGGCUGCAGUCGAGAAUCUUCGGCAAUGGGCGAAAGCCUGACCGAGCGACGCCGCGUGUGGGAUGAAGGCCUUCGGGUUGUAAACCGCUGUCAGAGGGGAGGAAUGGGCGGAGGGUAAUCUCUUCGUUUUGACCUAUCCUCAGAGGAAGUACGGGCUAAGUUCGUGCCAGCAGCCGCCGUAA